AGUAAAACAGUUGUCAAUUGUAGUUGCCAUCAUACUCGCAUUAGGGAGGGUCCUGUGCUGAACACAAGAGGAAAAAUAUAAUAAAAAGAUUUAUGUACCAGAAAUGCUAACAACGGAAAAUAAAAGGAAGCAACGUUCAAAUUCAGCAGAGCAGAGAAUAUUCUUUUUUGUUAUUGUUAUUCUAAUUGUAAGAGGAUUGACUACUAACUCCGAGCGCACUACCAACUUGGAGGAACCAAUUCUCUUCAACGAAGCUUCAAAGAUCUGAACCUACCUGCUGUGUUGGUUAUAGAUCACAAGAAUUGUAUUAACAUUAAUACAUUUGAAGACCCUCACAAUCAAUCACAGAACUUUUAACAAAUCAAGAAAAAGGAACUGUAUUUUAUUUUCCAAUCGUCUCCAUCAUGCCUUAUACUGACUAUUACUCUGAUGUAGGAAAAUAUCAAUUGUAUUUUGGAAAGCAUAAAUACAAAACUUUAGAACAAGUGUGGAGAGAAGAUCCAUAUUACUGCUUAAGUUACUUAAGAUACUUAAGAUAUCGUCCAAAUUCAAAAUUUGCAUGCUAUAUUAAUGAAAGAUACUUAAAGGAUAUUGAAUAUUGUCAAUAAGAUUUCAGAAUCAAAAGAACUUCUGUCACUUCAAUGAUAAAAUAUUUGAACUUUUAUCAUUCAGUAAGAAUAUACAACUAUUUUGACGCAAACCAUAUUUUUUAUAAAAGGCGUGUUCAUAGCUACAGUUUUUAUCCAAAAUCUAUAAUUGAAAAAGAUCUCUAUUCCUUCAAUGGAGUAUUUGCUGAUUUAGUGAUAAGAAAACAUAUCUACAAUUCAAUACAAAAUCAGGAGGCAUUCGACAUUAAAACAGAAGAAAUGCUGAAGUCAAUUUCGUACAAUCAAGAUCUUUUAAAUGAUUACAAACAAGAUUAUGAAAUGUUUAAAGAUAAAAAUUGUCAUACAAUGCAUGUUUAGCCUAAUAUCUUCAAACUUGCCUUAUUGGAAAACAAAGUCAAAAAAGACACAAUUGUUAACUUCGAUGAAGAGAUGAUAGAACCAAAGCACAUUGUUGAAGUUUUAUCCUAUAUAGAGACUAUUCCUAACUUUGAAAGGGCAAUUUUAAAUCCUAUAUUGGAUACAAAUUUCUUUACUGCAGAUGCUGAUUUGAUAAUUGAGGAUACUAUUUUCGAUUUUAAAGUUUCAAAAAAUUCAGAUUUUAAUAUUUACCAAUUUUUGCAAUUGAUAUUUUAUACCGUUGCUUAUUAUAUCAGAGAAGAUAUAGAAAUUCGAAAAUUUGUCAUUUAUAAUCCGUUAUUAGGUCUAGAGCAUAGAUAUUAGAAUGAAAGAAUUUGAAUUUUAAGAAGCUGCUGAAAUAUUUUGAGGAUGUCAUUAUAUAAUAAUACAGAAAUUCAGGUUACAGAUUGGCUUCUCAAUAAGAAACCGUAUUUCUCCAACUUUGAGUUUGGAAGAUGCCCCCUCCAGGAUACCCUUUCGCACGCUGAGUAGUGUAAUCCUACACCGUAUCGUGUUUCAUGACCAGUGGAAGGCUAGUGGAGGGGGUACUUUAAUUUGCGGAAAUGUUUCCUCAUCACUUUCUUAUUGUGAGGCCGACCUGUGUUCCGAGCAAAACCGUGAAUUGCGAUUUUAUUGUCUAUUUUUAAUCAAUAUUUUUAGUGGUAAAUUGCAGUUAAUUUUUGCAUGCUUACAUUUUAGAUAUAUAUUAUGCAUAUGUA